ensembl:lncRNA
AUGAGUUACUGGUUUCAGCUCAGCUUCUCCCAAACACCUUUAUCUUCCCAUUUUUUACUUGCCAUCACGAGCCCUCUCUCCUUCGCGUCAGUUUUGGUUUAUUAUAAACACUUUUUCUUUGAUGAUGAACCAACCACGCUGAUGGCUGUCAAAUGGACGGCCAUUCUGGUCUUCUCCAGAAUGCCCCUGACCACAAACUACAGUGAUGACUUAAUUAACUUCAGCUCGAUGCUCCGGAUGAACAAGGCCAUAAACAGUGGGCGGAGUCAGCGUCACAGCGGAACUCACUCAAUUGGACAAAUUACACCCUCAAUGCUCAUUCCAACUAUAAUUGGAUGAAUUUUAGAGCAGUAAUUUGCAUAUUAGUAAUAUGAUUAAUAAAGAAUUAUAUUUUCUUUUGAUUUUAUUUUUCCUUUGUAUUUCUUUAUAUUCACUACUUAGGUAAAUAUAGUACAAUAUAUAUAUAUAUAUUUUUGCAAAUUAAUUUUACGGUUGAACCACUGAUGCCACAUGGACUAUUUUAAUGAUGUCCUUACUACCUUUCUUGGCCUUGAACGUGCCAGUUCCGUUGCUGUCUAUGCAGGGUGAGAAAGCUCUUGGAUUUUAUCAAAAAUAUUUUAAUUUGUGUUACGAAGAUAAACGAAGGCCUUACGGGUUUGGAACUACAAGAGGGUGAGUCAAUAAUGAAAUAAUUUUGAGUGAACUGUUCCUUUAAUUUUCCAGAAUGCAUUGUUGAUUUUCUUUGAUUUGACCUUCACAUUCUUCUACAUGUCAUUCCAUCAUGAAUUCAGUUUUCUCAAGUCAAUUUUGCACAAUCCUGACACCUACACAUUUAUGUAAAUAUAUAAAUAAACAAGUCCUUUUUAAAAUAAAUACAAGGCCUCGUGAAAAAAACAAACAAAAAAAAAAAAACACGAAAAGCACUUUAUAGUAUAGUGUAUAGCAUAACAGAAAAGAGCUUUUAAACUCUUCAUAUUGAGAGAACAAAGCCCAGAGCUGAGAUCAAAUACCCUCUAAUGAGGACUCCCUCUACUCCAUUGAGUCAGACUGCAACAACACCUGCAAAGCAAUUAUGGCAAGUGUGCUUUGCUGUUAGACAUUAUGCAACUAACCUGCGAAACAGAGCAUUUAGCGGAGGUACUAUCAAAGCCAAGUGAAAUCUUUUUGACCUUCUAAUGCACACUUUAGACAUCUAAAUGUCUAAAGAGUGGAAGUAUAGAAGUUGAUAUCGAUUUACUGAACAUUUGAGCCCCCAAUGCUGUCGGUCAAAUGAGCAAAACACUUUAAGUUUAAUGCUUUAUUUCCAUGAUGGGAGCUAUAUUCUUUGGACAUCUUAUUUAUUUGUAUGUGGUAAUCUUUAGAUGAUACCGUUAAUAAUGAAGCAGUGUUUUCUUAGGGAUUUUAGGGACAUUUACCCAACAUCCAGGUUUUAGAACCAGUGAAAUAUUGUAUUCAUAGUACAUUUUCUCUUUAUUAUUAAAAAGUAUUGUUAGGAUGUUGCAUAAGUACCCAAUCUAAGGUAUUCAGUAAGGAUAUUGAGCUCAUUUUGCAAAUGCCAUCCCAUCUUAACAUUUAUUUAAAGCAUUUAUUGGUAAUUUUCUGGUCCGGGUGUGCAGGUGAAGUUUAACAUUCUUUAACUGUAACUGGCCCCUUAUCUGACCCGGAGAGAGUUAAAUGAAGUAUUUCUUGCAUGGUUGCCCCAUGAAGAUCAGCAGAUACUGCCUCAGAGACUUUGCUUCAAAAGGUAUGAGCCACGUGCUAGCUUUCUGAACUCAACAGGGCAAUAUAUCUUUUCCUCCCUGAGCACAGCUGGAAGUCAUCCUCCUCCUCAUUACUUAAACUGUCAAGAUCGGCCCAAAAAAAAUUCUGCACUGCAUCUAUGAGCAAAGAACAAAAUUCAAUCACACCACAAUGGCACUGGCCUCAUUUCUUUCAGGAAAAUGCAUCAUGUAGUUAAACUACACACAAUGAAACUACAGUUUUACUGCAAAGUCAGAUUUUACUGACCUGAUUCCUAAUGCCUUGAUGCAGCUCUUUCUUCCAUGGAAAACUCAAAUUGUCGGAUUUAACAAUGUUUCACUGUAAAUGUUUCCAAGCUUCCCUUUUUACCAUGGCAAUAUUUAAUUAAUUGACUGAUAUUGGAUAGCUGGUUGUGUUGCAAUAGUAGAGCGCACAUGUCAGUGUAAAGGUUUUCUUCUCUUGAUUUGCUCGCUUACAUAGCAUGUCCUUAUAUUUCAUGUUGCAGUCAUCCAAGAAUAAUGGCGUCUUUGUUUUCACAACAAAGAGCAUAUGACUGAUGAUCAGAUAAGUACUGAAUUUUGAAUUUAGAACAUAAUGUAUUAGCUUUUCUUGUUGAGUUUACAAUUAUUAUCAGAUUACAUGACUUAGAAUAAAAGAAUAACAUAAAAUAUAAUAGAAUA